rnacentral:rRNA from 1 species
CACUGAGACACGGGCCCGACUCCUACGGGAGGCAGCAGUAAGGAAUAUUGGUCAAUGGACGCAAGUCUGAACCAGCCAUGCGGCGUGAAGGAUGAAGGCCCUCUGGGUUGUAAACUUCUUUUAUCUGGGAAGAAAUGCCUGUUUUCUAACGGGUUUGACGGUACCAGAGGAAUAAGCACCGGCUAACUCCGUGCCAGCAGCCGCGGUAAUACGGAGGGUGCAAGCGUUAUCCGGAUUCACUGGGUUUAAAGGGUGCGUAGGUGGGCGUGUAAGUCAGUGGUGAAAUCUCCGUGCUUAACAUGGAAACUGCCAUUGAUACUAUGUUUCUUGAAUCUUCCGGAGGUCAGCGGAAUAUGUCAUGUAGCGGUGAAAUGCUUAGAUAUGACAUAGAACACCAAUUGCGAAGGCAGCUGACUACAGGAGCAUUGACACUGAGGCACGAAAGCGUGGGGGAUCAAACAGGAUUAGAUACCCUGGUAGUCCACGCCCUAAACGAUGGAUACUCGACAUUUGUGAUACACAAUAAGUGUCUGAGCGAAAGCAUUAAGUAUCCCACCUGGGAAGUACGAUCGCAAGAUUGAAACUCAAAGGAAUUGGCGG